rnacentral:rRNA from 1 species
GAUGAACGCUGGCGGCGUGCCUAAUACAUGCAAGUCGAGCGAACAGACGCGGCUCUUGCUCCUCUGACGUUUGCCGCGCACGUGUGUGUAACACGUGGAUACCCUCCUUAUCUUUGUGGGAUAAUUUCGGGACACCGGCGCUAAUACCGGAUAAUAUAUUGCUCCGCAUGGUUCCUUAGUAAAAUACGGUUUUUCUGUAUCUUCUCGCUGGUUCCGCGCCGCAAUAGCUCGUUGGUACGGUAACGGCUUACCACGGCAACGAUGCGUAGCCGACCUGCGCGGGGGAUCGGCGGCACUGGAACGGAGACACGGACCAUACGCCUACGAGAGGCAGCAGUAGGGAAUCUGCGGCAAUAGGCGAAAGCCUGACGGAGCAACGCCGCGUGAGUGAUGAAGGUCUUCGGAUCGUAAAACUCUGUUAUGAGGGAAGAACAAAUGUGUAAGUAACUAAGCACGGCUUGACGGUACCUAAUCAGAAAGCCACGGCUAACUACGUG